rnacentral:ncRNA from 1 species
UCGCCUAAUGAAGAGACACGGCGCUAACGCGCCAUCUUCAUACCUCCCUGUUGGACUUGGCCGAGCUUCGCGCUCGGCCUUUUUU